rnacentral:misc_RNA from 1 species
CCAAAUCUCAAGCCUUGCUUGGUAUUGGGUUUCGUUUUUCCCCUUGUCAUUGUGCAUAAGGGAAUGACGUGCCUGAAAGCUAAUAGCGGCGUCUCAAUUGACUCAAGCGUAGCAGACUGACUUUCGCUUUAGAGAACUUUUGUAGGCUCUGUUUAAAAUAAAAACAA